UUCGUAUUAUCCACAUUGCGGCAAUCGCAGAAUCAUAAGGAAUUAUCUAAUAUUUCAUAAUAUGAGGAAAACUUAACAAACAUAUAUUUUAAGUGAUUCUAAUAUAUUUUCUUUAUAUAUAUUUAAGAUUGGAACUUCACUCGGAGAGCGGAAAUAACAAGCCAGAACUAAUAUUCAUGGACCAAGUAGAGGACAUUUCAUCUGAGUUUAUUUUACACAAAAACGAAAAUUGCAUUCAAAUUCGCAUUAAUGAUGGUAGUCGAGAUGGUAGGAUUGUUUUAACGAACUCUGAUGAAAUCGGAUUAAAGGAAUGGGCGUCAUCUUUGAGAUCCGCGCACAAAAUGUCGCAAGAUCUCUUAGGAUCAAUGGCUAAAAAAGCUGGAAAAAUUUAUGGUAGUGAACGAGAUGCCAACAAAUCUAUAUAUAUUUUAGGGGUAAUUGUUCAACGAAAUCGUCUAAUGGGUCUAAUUAAUUAUUUAACAAUUUAUGUACAACAAUUACUGCUAUGUAAAACGAUGUAGAGGUAUACACAAUGGAAAUAAAUUUGGAGAGAUUCCUAAAAACCCACCUCA